AAAAUUGAUUAAGGAAUUAAUAUUUUUAAAAAGCAUUUAAUAGCGUAUUUGGUAAAUUAAAAAAAAGGACGGUACGAUUCGAAAAUUGCAAUGAGAUUUAGAUCUGUGAUCUGCAAGUUUCCUAAUUAAAAAAUUAAAAUUUUAACAGUUUGUGAAAUGAAUCAUCUUAGUAACAUAAAAUAGUAAAUCAACCGAUAAUUUAUUAGUAGCGGUGAGCGAAUUUAAAAAGUAUUAAAACAAUUUAAUUAUUUAAAGUUAAAAUAAGGUAAAAAUCCUGUUAACUAAUUAAAUUUUUUUUGAAUAAUAAAUAGUACAGUGAAAAAGUUUAAUUGCUUGAACAAAGGAGAAUCACCUUCUAAACUUAAAAAUUUAAUUUAACCGAUAGUACAAGAGUAUUGUGAAAAAAAAUUGAAAAAAAUUGAAAAAAAUUGAAAAAAAUUGAAUGUUUAAUUUAAUUACUUGAAGUAAAAAUAUACAACAAGAUGCUUUUUGCAGAACGAGUCAACAAGUUAAAAAUUGUAGCAAAAAAUUAAAAUAAUUUAAUUUAGAUUGAAAGUUAUAAUUAUUAAACCUGAAACCAAAUGAUCUAAUUAUGGGUAAGUUGCUUUUAGUAUAAUAACUAAUUAAAGACUGAACUUUCAUAUGUGGCAAAAUAUAAAGAAAACUUGUAAUUAGGAGUGAAAGGCUAAUCAAAUUUGGUUAUAGCCGGUUUUUUACGAAAUGUAUUUUAGUACAGCAUUUAUUUUUUAUUACUUAAAGUAAAGUAAAAUAAUUUUAAUAUAAAGUUGUUUAACUCAAAAAUUAAUUAAAUAAAAAUUUUAGUCAGUUUAAAAGCGAUAAGGUUUUUAAACUAAAGGAAAACAAUCCAGAUUAAAUGUUAAGGUAUUAAAUUAUAAUUUAAAAAAAGAUUAUUUAAGAUAAAAAUAUAAAAAUAGGCUUAGAAGCAGUUUUUUAUUUGAGAAAGCGUUUUAGCUCAUUAUUAUUUCUUAAAUAAUUAAAAAUAUUAGAUAAUAAAUUAUAAACCGAAACAGUAAAAUUUAUUAAUAAAUUGGUAGUAAAACGUUUUAUGAGUUAAAUUAUUUUUAGCAAUUAUGAGAAAUCUUAAAAAUUUAAUUAAAAAGUAAAUAAAAUUGAAAAUGUUGACAUGAGUAACGCUAAAUUAUGUUAAAUCAUAAUCAUAUAACAGUUGGUUUUCAAUGUAAUUUAAAAUUCAUUGAGUGAGUCGGUUCCUAAGAAAAAACUUAAUAGUAUAAUUUGAUGGAAAUUUAAUAUCUAAUUGUUUAAAAAGAAAAAAAUUAAAUUAUUUUAGUACUUUAUAAUAUAAUAUGAAAUAUUUUUCUUCAAGAAAAAAACAAUUUUAAAAACCGUACUAAAUCCGACACAGGUCUGACAAUAAAUGAUUGAAAUAAUUAUAUUUAAGGAACUUGGCAAAUUAUUUCUGUAUGUUAGCUAUAAAGAAAACCCAUAUUAUUUAUAUAGGUAUCAUAAAAAAAAGCAACGACUGGUUAACAAAACCAUAAAACUCUGCAAAUUUUUUUAAAGAAGUAUUGAGUUUGAAGCCUGCCCAGUGCUUAAUUAUGAAAUUUUUUAUUAUUAUAAUAAAAAUAUAAGUAUAAGUAAACGGCGGUUCUAACUAUAAGAAUCCUCAGGUAGCGAAAUUCCUUGACGGGUAAAUUCCGUCCUGCAUGAAUGGCUUAACGAUUGCUUUACUGUCUCUAAUAUAAAUUCAGUGAAAUUACAAUAUUCAUGAAAAUGUGAAUUACUUACAAUAAGACGGAAAGACCCUAGAUCCUUUACUUUGAUUUUACAUUAAAGAUUAGUAUAAAAAUAAUUAGUAUAAAUGGGAGUUAAAAUAAACUAAUUGUGAAAUACCAUUUUUUUUAUAAUUUUUUUUUAUUUAUUUUUAAAAACAGUGUAAAAAAGAAAGUUUACUUGGGAUGAGUACCUCCUAAAAAGUAACGGAGGUGUGCUAAGGUAAAAAAUUAAUAUAAUAAUUAUUUUUGCUUGAUAAUAAAAUUGAUAAAUUAAAUUAGGACGUAAGUCAGUUAUAGUGACCCGAAUUGCAGAGUGAAAUAAAAUUCGUUUAACAAAUAAAAGGAACUCUAGGGAUAACAGAUUCAUCAUGAUUAAAAGUUCUUAUUAAAGUCAUGGUUUGAUACCUCGAUGUCGACUCAUCUUAUCCUGAAGUUGAAAUUGAUUUCAAGGGUCUAGUUGUUCGCUAGUUAAAAAGGUACGUGAGUUGGGUUCAGAACGUCGUGAGACAGUUCGGUCCCUAUCUAUUGUAAGAUUAAAAAAAUUAAAAGAAAUAUUUUUAGUACGAGAGGAUCAAAAUAUAUUAACCAAUAGUAAAUUGAUUUCAAAAAUAACUUAUUUUAAGAUCACGCAGCUACGUUAGUUUAGUUUAAAUACUGAAAAAAUCAAUAGUAUAAAAAUAACUUUAAAAUUUUUUAGAAUAUUCUUUAAGAUUAAAAGAUAGAUCGGUUUAUUUUUAAUUUUUAGUAAUAAAAAUAAUAUAAAUACGAAUUAAUCAAUAAAUUAAUUAACUUAAUCAAU
rnacentral:rRNA from 1 species